rnacentral:rRNA from 1 species
UACGAAGGGUGCAAACGUUGCUCGGAAUCAUUGGGCGUAAAGCGCACGUAGGCGGCCUGAUAAGUCGGAUGUGAAAUCCCUCGGCUCAACCGAGGACGUGCAUUCGAAACUGUCAGGCUCGAGUAUGGAAGAGGGUCGCGGAAUUCCCGGUGUAGAGGUGAAAUUCGUAGAUAUCGGGAGGAACACCAGUGGCGAAGGCGGCGACCUGGGCCAAUACUGACGCUGAGGUGCGAAAGCGUGGGGAGCAAACAGG